rnacentral:lncRNA from 1 species
AUCACCAUAAAAUAAAUAUCAAAGACUACACUGAAUACUUUACUUAGAAGAAAUAGCUUCUCAUACAGAAAUGUUACAAACAGACAGAUAAGAGUGAAUGUCAUUAGAAAUGUUUUCUCUAGGUUACAGUCAGCAUAUUUCUUAGAACUAUGAUCUCCAUUGCUGCACCAAGUUAUAUUUUAGAAGUUUCUUAGACUGCAGAGAAAAUAAAUUCAGUGUUCUGUUGUCUCUCACAAUGAAUGCUCCCUCGUGCUUUUCACAUUGGUUCUGAGGUCCUCCGCAGCAAACAGGUGUGCUUGGACUUCCGUAAAUGAGAGAUGAUACGCUAAUGCAUUCCCAUGAGGAGUUUUUGAGUUUCAUAUCGUGCAGCCUUCUCAAAAGACUGAAGAAACAACCGGCUAUGAAAAGGAUGUCAUUUCUCCAGGAUCACACAGGAGCUCCAGUCUUUGGCACUGCCUUUGGACAUUCAUCUCUGGGCUUCUGGUUCAGACCCUUCAGCCUUCCGGUGCAGACCCUCUGAUUUCCCGUACACUCUUGCAUGGGACUCUGCGGUUUCAACUAAGUGGAAUCAUGGAUAAUUUUAAAAAAUCAAUCUUGACAUUAUUUCCAAAUUGGACAUGAGAUAAUUUAGUAGACUUUAUUUUUGAGAGUUUAUAUCUGUUCAUGGAUAUUCAGUAUUUCUUUAUAUUUUAUUUUCAUUUUGUUUAGUAGAAUCUCUUCAAACAUUUAUAAUUCUGAAAUUUGCUGCUCAGGAAAGUCUCAGAGAAUGGUGCAUACUAAAUAAGAUUGUCCACUGUAGGUGAAAUCAAUUUAAAUGAUUAUUACAGAAUUUCUUGGGCUUUUUAUCCCAAAAUGCAAUGUGAAUACAGAGAUGGAAACUAUGCUUCUAAGUAUCCGCAACAUAAAAACUCAAUUUUAUUGGCAUAAACCAUCUGUACAUGUUUACCAAAAGUAGUCUGGUGUCUGUUUCUUUCUCUUUCCAACAAUGUGUGUGUGCAUGUUUGCGUGUGUGUGUUCAUGGAUAUAUUCAGAAGACAUUAUCAUUAGUGUAAUGAGAAGCAUUUAUACUUAUCCACCUCUGCGUUGCAUGUGGUGUGAUAAAAAAUAGCAUGGGUAUUUACAUUUUUAAAAAUUUUUACAAUGAAAAAUGCAUUGCCAUUGACCCCCUUUAGGUACCUCACUCCCUUCAAAACACUUAUCCCAUAGUUCUUGGCACUUUUGGGAGCAGAUCUGGGCCUGUCCUGAAUAUUUCUGUGUACUGUGUUGGUUCUCAUGAUGUCCUGAAGUUCUGCAGAGUGAUCUUCCUUCAUAGUCAUUUUGACCUUGGAGAAGAGCCAGAGGUUGCACAGCGGCAGAUCAAAUGAUUGCAAUCAAUGAGGACACACAGUGCAUUUUACUUUGAUGGAAAUUGCUGUAAAAAUUUGACCAAUAAGGGUUGAUUGAAAAAUAAAAUAAAUAAAGAGCAAAAAAACCCACUUUGUCAUUAAUCCCUGUUGGAUGCUCAAAAUACUCGCACUCAUUUCAGACACAUCUAUCCC